GGACCUGUAGCUCAGCUUGGAUAGAGCGACUCCCUCCUAAGGAGUAGGUCGAGAGUUCAAAUCUCUUCAGGUCCG
rnacentral:tRNA from 2 species